AAUAAUCUUCUUAAAACAUAGAAUGAGUAUUUUAAUAGCUAGAUAAGUUUAACCACUAAUGUUUGCCCCAGAAUACAGGCAAGGAAGGAAAGAGGCAGAAUAAAUAGGGAAGAAAAGUUAUCGUAGGUGCUUGCAGUGUCUGUGACACUGGGCAUCAGCAGUGCUUGGCUUGCUGGUGUGAUGGGAGUUUGUCAGGCAGAGGGAACAUUGCUCUUCCUUGCUCCCACAAAUGCACUUUUUUUGCAGAUAAAAUGACCUACAGAGGUAAUUUUAAUGCCUGCCCCCCGCUUUUUCCACUACAAAUGAGCAGGAAGGAUAUUCACCAGCAAGUCCAACAGCAUUCUCAGUGCCAUGCUAUUUCUUUGUCUCGUUAGUUGGAUGAUUCCAAGGCUUGGUGGUUAAUUGGCAGACAUUAAAUAGUACUGUUGUGUCUUUGUAGGGCUCCAGCUUUUCAGCUCAAAGUCACUUUCUGGCCCAUUUGUACAGUGAUAAAAUAUUACCAGGAAAGAACUAAUUGAGGGGAUGCUGGUUUUCUCUCCUGUCCUCAAAGCAUAUUAGAGAAGUGACCAGCAGGAUAUGGGGAUUGCAAAUCCUCCAUCAAUUUCUACAAAAAAAAAAAAUCAACUUCCACGGAGCCCAGCUGAAUAUACUCCAUUGUAUGGAUGUACCACAGUUGUUGAUGAACAUCUUGGUUGCCUCCAGUUUUUGGCAGUUAUGAAUAAAGCUGCUAUAAACAUUCGUGUGCGGGUUUUGUGUGGACAUCAUGCUUGAUGAUAUGGUAAGACUAUGUGUAUCUUUGUGAGAAACUGUCAGUUCUGGAGUGGCUGUACCAUGUUCUAUUUCCACUAGCAAUGAAUGAAAGUUCCUAUUGUUCCAUAUCUUCAGCAGCAUUUGGUAUUGUCAAUAUUUUUUAGCCAUUCUGAUAGAUGUGUAGUGAUAUUUCACUGUUGUUUUAACUUGCAAUUCUCUAAUGACAUAUGAUAUUCAUCAUCUUUUUCUAUGCUUAUUUGCCAACUAUAUGUAUUAGUUGGUGAGGCGUCUAUUCAGAUCUAUUGGCCAUUGCUUGAGUUUUGUUUUUCUAUUGUUGAGUUUUAUGAGUUCUUUGUAUAUUGUAGAGGCAAGUUUUUUUAAAAUCAUGUAUGUGUACUGCAAAUAUUUUAUUCAUCCGUGGGCUUGUCUUUUCUUUUUCUUAAGUUUUAUUGCUUUUUAAAAAGACAGUCUUUCUGUAAUCCCAGCACUUUGAGAGGUCGAGGUGGGCAGACCACCAGAGGUCAGGAGUUCGAGACCACCCUGGCCAACAGGGUGAAACCCUGUCUCUACUAAAAAUAAAAAAAUUAGCCAGGCAGUGGCACACAUCUGUAAUCCCAGUUACUUGGGAGGCUGAGGCAGGAGAAUUGCUUGAACCCGGGAGGCGGAAGUUGCAGUGAGCUGAGACCAUGCCAUUGCACUCCAGCCUGGGUGACAGAGCGAGACUCCACCUCAAUAAAUAAAUAAAUAAAUAAACAAACAAACAGUCUUUCUAAAUUAUUAAAAUUUUGAAAUUUCC
rnacentral:lncRNA from 1 species